rnacentral:rRNA from 1 species
UGGGGAAUAUUGCACAAUGGAGGGAACUCUGAUGCAGCGACGCCGCGUGAACGAAGAAGGCUUUCGAGUCGUAAAGUUCUUUUAUAUGGGAAGAAAAUGACAGUACCAUACGAAUAAGGACCGGCUAAUUACGUGCCAGCAGCCGCGGUAAUACGUAAGGUCCGAGCGUUGUCCGGAAUCAUUGGGCGUAAAGGGUACGUAGGCGGAUAAGCAAGUUAGAAGUGAAAUCCUAUAGCUCAACUAUAGUAAGCUUUUAAAACUGCUCAUCUUGAGGUAUGGAAGGGAAAGUGGAAUUCCUAGUGUAGCGGUGAAAUGCGCAGAUAUUAGGAGGAAUACCGGUGGCGAAGGCGACUUUCUGGCCAUAUACUGACGCUGAGGUACGAAAGCGUGGGUAGCAAACAGG